GUGAGUCAUCGAAUCUUUGAACGCACAUUGCACUCUCCUUCGGGAGAGUAUGCCUGUUUGAGAAUCUAUAGUAUUUAUUCUAAACCUUUAUUGGUUAAGAGAUUUGAGACUUCCAUGUUGAUGGUGUCUUUAAAACUAUUGCUAGGCGACUUGUAUGAAUGUUUGACACUCAGUUAAGUUGGUACGAAAAGUAUUUGAAUAGGACUUUUGUUCUUUCCCUUGCUUAGUAGGCUUCUGUUGAGGAUAGUUUAUAUAAGGCGAAUGGUCCAUAAAUUAUAGGGAGGAUCUUUUGAUUUUCCU
rnacentral:misc_RNA from 1 species